AAGUCGUAACAAGGUUUCCGUAGGUGAACCUGCGGAAGGAUCAUUAGAGAGAGUGCAGAGGCGGUAGAGGUGCUGUAGAGGUAUCCUGCUUGCUUUCUGGCUGCUUACUUAGUAAAUGUGAACUGUUGUAAAUGACAGGUGGUGUGCGUGUAGUAGGGUCUGCCUCAGGGCUACCUCAGCGCACACCCCCCCCCCUUUGUAUGCUUACCCUGUAUGUCUACAUCACACAAACACCCAUAGAGGUAGCACAACCUUUGAGUUGAACUUGCAAAACUUUUAGCAAUGGAUCUCUAGGCUCUU
rnacentral:misc_RNA from 1 species